UGGCUAUCAUGUUAGCUAUUGGAUUAGCUAUCUCAUUUCUGAAAUCCCAAAGCAAUGCAAAUUAACCGUGCGGUGCGAUUUUUGGGAGCUCUCUGAUUGGUUGGACAGACACAGGCUGGCUAUCUGGAUUUUUCUACACUUCUGUUGUGCUCAUAGCUUUGCACUGCUAAAAAGAGUGUGUGCUUGUACAAAGUUAAUUCAUCCUCGGGAUUUAAACUCUGCCCGACACGGAUAUGUGAAGAGUGAAGGAGCUCUGCUGAACCUCCGAGUGUGCACCUGUGGAUUCAGUCGGACUCAGUCCACCUGUUGAAGGCUGAGACACACCUGGGAGCUGAGUUGACUAAGUCAUCUGUGGUUCAUGCUGUCAUCAGCAGCCUUCUAAAGGUUGAAGAUUUUUCUCAGUCCUUGCCAGAUGGUUGUGUCAACAGUGGUAACAUGUUUGAUUGCCAGAAACAGUCUCUGGUGAGUUGGCUAAAGCCCAAGCUUCAUCUUGUGUAUAAACAGGGAAGGAAGAGUGUGGUGGAUUUUUGGAUAAUGGCCGAGGAGACUUGCUAGGUAAAAAGCUCUCUGCGGUACUCUUCUCAAUGGACUCAAAGACUACACCAGAGUCUCUCAUUUGUUUCUAUGUGUGUUAGAAUGGAUGAAAAUUCACAUUCAUGAAAGUUGUUGCCUGAGGGCCUAUAGAUGCUGGUUGGUUCAACACAGAGAGGUUCUGUUUCCAGAAAGGAAGCCACACCAGAACAAUGGGGAAAGGGACACGUGAUAGGAGACACUGAUUCAAACCUGAUGCAAAUUUGAAGGGUUCACUAACACCAGAGGAAAAGAGCAGGAGAAUUGCAGCAGGCACAGUAAGCCCAGUAGGACAUGCCCAGUUGGAACCUGUCACCCAGGAGGUGCACCAGCCUCAGCUGGCUCCUUUCAAUGUGGAGGUGCAGCAGCUGUACGCUGAGCCCCUCCCAAAUGGCUGAACACCUCACCCUACUGCUAAGGAAAAGCACAUGCACAUUUCGGAGAAAACUUAUUUCCAAAACUUGUAUCUGCAGUCUAAAAGUUCAGGCCUGCUUUAACGGAUUCAUGAUGUUUCUCACCGGCGAUGCUCUAUCUGGUUCCAAAUGGCUGCAGAAAAUUAGGACACAACUAUUUACAGGCAUUGAGUAUCAAUUGAAAUCUAAAACUAGAUUAAAAAUAUUUUUCCAGAUUAAAUGAUGAUCUUCUAAAUUAGUGAGAUGCCAUUUCCUCUCCAACUUAUCAGUUAUGUGCUUGAUGAGUUAUACUUUGAGAGUUA